AGCCUAUGAUGUCCUAAGAGUAGUGGACAGAAAUGAUUUCUGACAAUAAUAUACUGAGGCU
ensembl:snoRNA